rnacentral:rRNA from 1 species
CCCUUAGAUGUUCUGGGCCGCACGCGCGCUACACUGAUACGCUCAACGAGCUCCUUGGCCGAAAGGUCCGGGUAAUCUUUGAAAUCGUAUCGUGAUGGGGAUAGAACAUUGCAAUUUUUGUUCUUCAACGAGGAAUGCCUAGUAAGCGCGAGUCAUCAUCUCGCGUUGAUUACGUCCCUGCCCUUUGUACACACCGCCCGUCGCUCCUACCGAUUGAACGUUUUAGUGAGGCAUUUGGACCGACGCAUCUCAGUUUAACCGCUGGUUUGUGUUGGAAAGACUUCCAAACUUGAGCGUUUAGAGGAAGUAAAAGUCGUAACA